UUUUUAAACAAAAAAACCGCAGGAACUAAGUUUACCACCUAAUAGUACCAUGCAAGAUGUCUGCGUAUAGAUGGCGAGCGAGUCCGAAAAAGAAGAUGGAGGGAGAGUUUUGAGGGUUAAGUAGGCAUGGAGGAUUUAAACAGGAGGCUCAAUCACGUUAGUCAUUGUCGAUAAAAGAGUAUGAGUAAAAAGCGAAAUAGUCGAUAUUAUAAUUGUACUAGUUUUUGUAUUUCUUUAUUGUUAAAAAUACAUCCUGUUGUUUCUAGUCAAUAGUCCCAAACAAUUGCCAAAACUUAUUAUCCUUUAAUAUUCCUGUCGUUCAUUUAUCAAUAAGCCGUUUAUCCAUCCAUCCUUUUGUUAUAUUCCCGAGGUUACACAACUAAACGCUACCGUGGUCACGAAACGAAAAAACGCCUCAGCAAGCAAUCCAACACGAAAACAAGCACCGCUGACUUUCGAGUAAGACAAAUAUAUUUUAUCUCACUUUAUCUUACUUUAUCUUACCAGUGCAGCAGCUGUACAGCUGAAAAGAACAGACUAUUUGUGGCUUGUUUACGCAGAAUGUAACAAUUAAUUUAUCCGUAAUCCGUAAGAAAUUGACUAAUCACAGUCGAAUUAUACAAGAAUAGUCGACUGCAGACCACUGAAAUUGAAUGAAUCGGCUCGCACGAAGUUACUCGAUGAUGUACAACACGUUCGAAACAAAUGUGAAACGGGGUAGUAUCCCAUGUUUGCCUACGGAAUUAAAUCUGACUCUUACAUUACACGGCGGUCAAAGUUUCAGGUGGACGAAUUGUGAUGCUGGAUACAGAGGAGUAUUCGACGGUUGCGUUUGGACUUUAUCUCAAAAUAAAACACAUCUACUGUACACUGUACAGGGACGAUUGAAGGAUUCAAUCAACUAUGAUGAUAUUCUGUCGAAAUACUUAAGAUUAUCGGUGCCUUUGCAAGAACACUACAAAAAAUGGGCAGCAGUGGAUAUGUAUUUUCAAAAGUGCUUAAAUGAGAAUAAUGCUGUCCGAAUUCUGAAGCAAGAUGUUGUAGAGACUGUGUUCUCGUUCAUAUGUAGCUCCAAUAAUAACAUAACAAGGAUAUCAAGUAUGGUUGAGAAAUUGUGCUUGUUAUUUGGUCAAAAGAUAUGCUCAGUUGAAAGUAAGGACUAUUAUGAUUUUCCAACAAUACAGUCUUUAAUGGAAAAUAAUAUAGAAAGUGUAUUAAAAAGAGAAAAAUUUGGCUACCGUGCUAGAUACAUAGUUAAUGCAGCGCAACGUUUGUCAAUGUUAGGUGGAAAGAAUUGGCUUUUGAGUUUACAAAGAGAAAAUAAUGUUCCUUAUCAUAUAGCUAGAGAACAACUGAUGAUUUUGCCAGGAAUCGGUCCUAAAGUUGCCGACUGCAUAUGCUUGAUGUCACUGGGGCAUUUAGAUGCUAUACCUAUAGAUACUCAUAUUUUUCAAAUUGCACAGGCAAAUUAUUUGCCACAUUUAAAAAGGCAGAAAACGAUUACGCCAAAGAUUCACACCGAAGUCAAUGAUUAUCUGCGAGAAUUGUGGGGGCCAUUAGCUGGAUGGGCGCAAGCUAUCGUAUUUUCCGCUAAAAUCAACACUAAAUCUGAAUUGGUUGGCAAGCGAAAAUUUGUAAAAGAUUCAAACGAGAAUUCAGUAUCCGGAAAAGCUUCUAAAAGGACGUAAAUCUGUUAGCUUUUUCUGUCUAAAAGAUACAUAUAUGUACUCGUAUGACAUUAAAUAUUGCGCAUUAAAUAAUUCGCGCAUAUGUACACGACCUGCAAACAAGUUAUGGAUAACUAAUCCUCUGACAAUGUCCCAUUAGUUUGCAAUUGGUGCAAAGUUUUAUCGUUUUGUUGUAUGACAUAAUCGUUACUGUAAACACAGAGAUAUACGUUGAUAGAAAAUUCACAUGAGACUAUUGCACGAUUCAUACAAAUUGUAUAAAGGCGACUUAAUGACGUUUCAGCAAGUUAGCUUCUUCUGUUGACUUUUCUUUUAGAAAUGUUUCAUUUCAGUGACGCAUUGCACUAUUAUGAGGUAAGUGUGAGUUUGUUGCUAAUGAUUCGCUUCUUCUUUCUCCCAAGUCCUAUAAGGGCAUAAUCAAAAUCGUCUAAAAUAACAUGCUCCGCGGGAAACUCGAUGUCCUCGUUAUCGUAAUCUGUGGAAAAAAAAACGAUCACUUCUAUCGUUUCUUUGGUUAAUUCGUAAAUAUAUUAUGCAAAAAAAAAACACAAAUCAGUCCUGAGAAUUAUUAAUACUUUUCCGUAGUAUAUCAGCAAAGAUGUUCUGACAAAGAUGACGCAAACUAGGAAAUGUCUUUGAUAGAUACAUUCGCUGCAGAGGUAAUAAGACUCCUAGGCAUGCGGUCUGUAGGGAUACAGGCAUUGAACAGCUAUAAGUCAACUUCAUGACGCAUUGGGCCAUCGUGGAACUUAUUAGUGGAUAAAGCAUAACGUUAUUCAGCCUUGUAAAAGCGAUACCUACAAAACGGUGAAAUUACAAUAUCAUGAUUUGGUAUAGAUAUGUUUGCAACCUACCUAAUGGUUUGCGAUCAAGAAAAAAUUGCAACGUGCCGCUCCAAGCAUCGAAAUGUACUCCUACUAAAUUACCUUGAUCAAAGGUGGCUCCGUAAUUACGCGUUUUACCGUCAUGCUUUCCCACACCAACCAUCUGAUGAAACAAAAAAAAGCAUACAUUAAACAGAGUUAUAAGAAGUAACUGCAGCUCCACAGCUGAUACAAAUAAACUUACUACAUCUGUGCCAUA